GGAAAUCUCGGCCCAAAAAAGGACGUUUAGUAAUUGUAAAAGGGACUACAGGAUGAAAAAUAAUAGUUUUGGCAGUUAAAGUUUGAGAUUCGAUGGUGCCGUAGAUCCGUUUGGUCAUCAGGUGCUACGAGCCACACCCAUGUCUAGCUAGAAUACUGUGUCAGGCUCAGGCUACAAACGAAACGGGGAACAAACCGAUGAAAGAAUUAUCAUACCGAGGGAAUUCACUCAGAGCUAACAAGAAUGAUAACGUGCUCCGAUUGGAGCGGUUUAGGAACUGCUGGUAGGAUCUAGGGGAAUAAAGAUGGAAUGACUUCUAAUUUUUAGGUCCGUAUGGUUUGAAAUACUUGGAAAGAAACCGCACGAAAGCGUUCAUAGAAAUCUCGGCCCAAAAAAGGACGUUUAGUAAUUCUAAAUGGGACUACAGGAUGAAAAACAACAGUUUUGGCAGUUAAAGUUUGAGAUUCGAUGGUGCUGUAGAUCCGUUUGGUCAUCAGGUGUUACGAGCCACACCCUUGUCUAGCUAGAAUAGUGUUGCAGGCUCAGGCUAGAGAAGAAACGGGGAACAAACUGAUGAAAGAAUUAUCAUACCGAUGGAAUUCACUCAGAACUAACAAGAAUGAUAACGUGCUCCGACUUGAGCGGUUUAGGAAUUGCUGGAAGGCUCUAGGGGAAUAAAGAUGGAAUGACUUCUAAUUUUUAGGUCCGUAUGGUUUGAAAUACUUGGACACAAACCACACGAAAGCGUUCAUGGAAAUCUCGGCCCAAAAAAGGACGUUUAGUAAUUCUAAAUGGGACCACAGGAUGAAAAACAAUAGUUUUGGCAGUUAAAGUUUGAUAUUCGAUGGUGCCGUAGAUCCGUUUGGUCAUCAGGUGUUAUGAGCCACACCCAUGUCUAGCUAGAAUAGUGUGUCAGGCUCAGGCUAGAGAAGAAACGGGGAACAAACUGAUGAAAGAAUUAUCAUACUGAGUGAAUUCACUCAGAACUAACAAGAAUGAUAACAUGCUCCGACUUGAGCGGUUUAGGAAUUGCUGGAAGGCUCUAGGGGAAUAAAGAUGGAAUGACUUCUAAUUUUUAGGUCCAUAUGGUUUGAUAUACUUGCACACAAACCGCACGAAAGCGUUCCUGGAAAUCUCGGCCCAAAAAAGCACAUUUAGUAAUUCUAAAUGGGACUACAGGAUGAAAAACAAUAGUUUUGGCAGUUAAAGUUUGAGAUUCGAUGGUGCAUUAGAUCUGUUUGGUCAUCAGGUGUUACGAGCCACACCCAUGUCUAGCUAGAAUAGUGUGCCAGGCUCAGGCUAGAGAAGAAACGGGGUACAAACUGAUGAAAGAAUUAUCAUACCGAGGGAAUUCACUCAAAACUAACAAGAAUGAUAACGUGCUCCGACUGGAGCGGUUUAGGAACUGCUCGAAGGCUAUAGGGGAAUAAAGAUGGAAUGACUUCUAAUUUUUAGGUUCGUAUGGUUUGAAAUACUUGCACACAAACCGCACGAAAGCGUUCCUAGAAAUCUCGGCCCAAAAAAGGACGUUUAGUAAUUCUAAAUGGGACUACAGAAUGAAAAACAAUAGUUUUGGCAGUUAAAGUUUGAGAUUUGAUGGUGCCGUAGAUCCGUUUGGUCAUUAGGUGUUACAAGCCACACCCAUGUCUAGCUAGAAUAGUGUGUCAUGCUCAGGCUAGAGAAGAAACGGGGAACAAACUGAUGAAAGAAUUAUCAUACCGAGGGAAUUCACUCAGAACUAACAAGAAUGAUAAUGUGCUCCGACUGGAGCGGUUUAGGAACUGCUGGAAGGCUCUAGGGGAAUAAAGAUGGAAUGACUUCUAAUUUUUAGGUCCGUAUGGUUUGAUACUUGCACACAAACCGCACGAAAGUGUUCCUGGAAAUCUCAGCCCAAAAAAGCACAUUUAGUAAUUCUAAAUGGGACUACAGGAUGAAAAACAAUAGUUUUGGCAGUUAAAG
rnacentral:lncRNA from 1 species